CCUCCGCCUCUUCCUCCAGCGGCUCCAUCCCUCCUCCCGCUCCGCGUCCUCCAGCCUCCCCCGCCGCCGCGCCCCCGGUGGCUGACUCGGCGGACCCGGGAGGGGGCCUGCCGCGUCGGCCGCCCGCUCGGCUUGGCUCGGCCCGGAGGCGUGCAUGCCCCUGCUGCCCGCGGCGCUCACCAGCAGCAUGCUCUAUUUCCAGAUGGUGAUCAUGGCAGGGACGGUGAUGCUGGCAUACUACUUCGAAUACACCGACACGUUCACCGUGAACGUGCAGGGCUUCUUCUGCCACGACAGUGCCUACCGCAAGCCCUACCCGGGCCCGGAGGAUAGCAGCGCCGUGCCCCCCGUGCUCCUCUACUCUCUGGCCGCCGGGGUCCCCGUGCUCGUGAUAAUAGUUGGAGAAACUGCUGUGUUUUGCCUACAACUAGCCACAAGGGAUUUUGAAAACCAGGAGAAAACAAUUUUAACUGGAGACUGUUGCUAUAUAAACCCACUGGUGCGCCGAACUGUCCGAUUUCUUGGAAUUUAUACCUUUGGAUUAUUUGCUACAGAUAUCUUUGUAAAUGCUGGACAAGUGGUUACGGGAAAUCUGGCUCCACAUUUUCUUGCCCUAUGUAAGCCCAACUACACAGCACUUGGAUGCCAGCAGUACACACAGUUCAUCAGUGGGGAAGAAGCUUGCACUGGCAACCCGGAUCUCAUCAUGAGAGCAAGGAAAACAUUCCCAUCCAAAGAAGCAGCUCUCAGUGUCUAUGCAGCCAUGUAUCUGACAAUGUACAUUACCAAUACAAUCAAAGCCAAAGGAACCAGACUUGCCAAGCCAGUUCUAUGCUUGGGAUUAAUGUGUUUGGCUUUUCUUACUGGACUCAACAGAGUAGCAGAAUAUCGAAAUCAUUGGUCAGAUGUGAUAGCAGGCUUUCUGGUUGGAAUAUCUAUAGCAGUAUUUCUGGUCGUGUGUGUGGUAAACAAUUUCAAAGGAAGACAACCAGAAAAUGAGCAUAUACACAUGGAUAAUUUGGCCCAGAUGCCAAUGAUCAGCAUUCCUCGAGUAGAAAGUCCUUUGGAAAAGGUACCAUCUGUACAGUUCUGGCAGCAGGAAAACACUAGUUGUGCUUUCCUGAAAGGAGGCAGUGAAGGCAGGCUGGGCUGAAUACAACCAGACUACGAAGAACAUUGAAUAGCAGAUCAAGACCUCAGCAGGCCUGGCAGCAAGCACAAAAAUCAAGUUCUUAAAGACAAGCUGCUCUUGAGAUUCUUGUGAACCCGAUAGGGUGAUAUUUCCUAAAUGUUGAUGCAGUUGUGUGCAUUUGUAACAAGUUGAUUGCUCGGAGAGUUACUAGUGUCUUCUCAAUCAGCCUGAUCCACUUUCACAUUUUGGUCAGUAUCUUAGAAAAAUUUACUCACAUGCUAAUCAGGAGUGGAGGUGGAGAGAAUCUGUGAGUGAUAAUUGGGUGAAAGAAUAAAAUGUCUUAAGAAACUAUAAGAAGAGACAAUAAACUAGGUAGAAAUAAAAUGUUUUGUAUUUGAAUUUGAAAAUUGUGUAGGGUAGGGAGCAUUUAGGUUAAGUGCACAAAUGAAAAAAGCUCAGAGGGACCACAAGUUGGCAUGUGCCAACAGCAUGAUACCCCUGUCAAAAUAAUUCAUAGGAUCUUUAAGUCUCACUUAAGGAAAAUGCAACCCUGACUGAGCAGACUUAUGAUUUGCUGUGCUCAUCCUGGUCAGGAUAACAUGGAAUACCGUGCAAUGAAUGCUCUUGGCAACACAGUUCAAUGGUGGAGACCAACAAAAUAGAAUAUUCACUAUUCCAAAAAUAAACAUUAAAUGAGUUAGUGAAUGUGUCCAGGAUGCUGAGUGGACUCAAUGUCAUGGACAAUGAGAGACUAUUGGAGCAAAGAUGAUUAGAGACAAAGAAAACUCAUGAAAGAAGCAGUAGUUUCUCAUGAGUGUCUGAAAGAUGGUAGAUGAAUGAGAUUGGUUCUGUAGGACCUCAGAGAUCACAAGUAGGGGGAACAAAAGGAAUGGGGGUAGGAAAAUAAACGAUGACCAGAGAGAGGAAAUCCGUUCUGAAAAUGGAAUGACUGCAUUAGGAGAGGUUAUUUCUUUUUACUAUAAAGAUUCCAGAAUAGCUAAAUAAUCACUUACCUACAAUACUUUGGAGGGAAUUAAGUAUUUAGAUGUUAGAGAUCCUAAAUAAUAAUAUUAAUAUCAGCUACCAUUUAAUAAUCCUUAGUAUGCAUCAAGUUUUGUAUUAAUGGUUUUUAUAAAUUCUAUAAAACGCUUCUAUGCUUUACAACUAUAUUUAGUCCCCACAACAGUUUUUAAACUGGAUCUUUUUAUAGUGGCAGAGACUGCCAGGAGUCUACUGAUAUUCAUUAUCCCCUUCUUCCUUUCUCUCAAUUUUUGCUACAUCCAUGGCUGCCCAGUUUUAGUCUGUACUUUUUAGCUUCUCUUGCAGUUAGUUGAACAUGACCAAGUUUAGAGCUAUGAAAUAUGAGUAGAGGAAUAAGCGCAACCUCUAGCAUAUCUCUUCAAAGACUCUUGCUCUGGGCAUUCUCUACCCCUUAUCAUCAAAUGGAAAAUAUAGAUUGGAGCAAUCUGGGAAGCAGGUUUGUAAAAUGACUGAUCAACCUUGGCAAUCUGUGUCCCUGGAUGCCCCCUUGGAGCAGAGCCCACAUAUCCAUUCCACUCUAGAUGGUUCCAAAAAGAAAAUGAACAGCUUCUUCUCUGAGUCAUUGGAUUGUUUUAAUUUCUGUUCUCUAGGGGUUUAGCUGAUGUUUUAUUAUAAUAAAUUUCCCAUGUUUAUCCACAAAAGUCCACAUCAUUGAUAAGCCACAGAGAAACAUUAUACAGUAUAAGUUUUGAGAUACAUACUUAUAUAAAUAAGUACACAUUUUAAAAACUGAAUUAUAUAUACAAAAUUAGAUUUUGUUUAACUUAAUAAAUAAGCAUAGGAAACAAUGCAAUUGAGAAAAAGAUCUUAAACAUAUUUUAAAGAAAAUGGUCAGGGUAACAAUUAGAAUCUUUUCACUUUGUAUACCUCAAAAAUCAUCAUAGGUAAUCAUCACAGACUUCUGCUGUUGAACAUAUUUGUUUGCAUGGGAGUUCUUUAGUAGUUCCCUAGCAUUGCAAAUAUUCUUAUGUACUACUAUGUCAUUCUCUAUAUUAAAGGAUUGAAAAUUCCUAUUGAUUUUAUGUUGAUUCAUUGUUAUUUACAGUGCCUUUAAAAAUAUAAAAUGAUAAAAGCAAAAAUAUUAUAUUAGACUCUGUGAAUUGCCAGAGAGAAUGUUUAUUAACUUCUUUCUUUCAUUACUAUAUUUGUUUGUUGUCCAUAUCAAAUCCGUGUACUUUUCUUUAGUUUGUGGUUGGGGAAUAAAGAUGUUUUGAAGCUGAUUCAGUUCUCCCCUCAUUCACUGAGUGUCUAUACACGAUGCUGGCUCUGCUCUUUUUUUUUUUCCUGUUCCCAGGCAGAAUAUUUCCUGCAUAGGACCUGGUUUAUUCUUUUACUACAUAGACAUGUAAACAGAGGAAGAUGGGAUGUUCUAGGAAAAUAUCUCAGACUCUCCUUUGAAACUGCUAAAAGGACGUGCAUUUAUGCUUAUCAGCCAGAAUGAAAGCAAGACCCUCACUGUGGCUGCCCUUUCUUUUUGUGACGAGGAAUAAAUGAAAACCACAUCACGGCCUUCGCGGAAGUCACAUGAUAUUGAAGCAGAUGGUUUUUCCCUGCAUUGGACAUCAUCCCUUUUUACCAUCCAUUCGUAACACCCAAAGUUUGUUUGAUUACAAUAGAAGUUUAUAAAGUUGUCUAAUAAUUUUUAUAAUUUUAAAAUCAAUGUCAACCUAUCUGUUUCCCCCACUAGACUGUGAGCUCCUCGAGGGCAGGACUGUGUCUUUCUUUUCUGUAUCUCCAACAUCUGCAACAAAGCCUAGCAGCACAGAUUAGGUGCUCAAUAAAAAUGAAAUGAUCAGAUGAAAAAUUAAUUCUUAAAUAAAAUAUUCACUUUAGUUUCUCAAAGAAUCUCUGCAACUAUGUGAAAAAGAAACUUCUACAUGAGUCAUAUUUGUAUAAGAAAACCCUCUAUUUUGAGCUUGUUAAGCUUUUUAAUUUUCAUAUACCUAUUCAGCAGUAUACCAUAUUUAAUUUGAUUUUUGGCUAGUUAAGCUUUUUAAUUUUUUAUAUAUCUCUUCAGCAGUAUACCAUAUUUAAUUUGAAGUGGACUUUGAAAGUCAUGGGGGUUUUAUUUUAUUAUUCAGCAUGACAUUCUUUCCAUUCUAACAGAAUUCAGUGUGUGAAAUUACUUUUAGAAAGUAUGUCUUAUACUAAAAUAAUGUUUGCACAUUAUAUUAUACUAUAUUUCACUUAAAAUACCAUUCAUGCAUACAUUCUAAGACUGGUGCUUCUGCUUUUGAAGGGGAAAAUGCCAAUUUUUACUGUAAUAAGUAAUGUAUCAUAAUUAAAAAUUAUUUAUUUGGACGUUUUCUCCUGACAGCUGUGGUUUAAUUGUUGACUAAUAGUUUUUGAUGGCAGGUAGCAAUUAGGAUACAAUACAUGAGUAAAUCCAGCACUGAUAACUUCUUACUGAAUAGUUUUCCAUUGGUAACAAUGUCCUCAAGUGAUUAUAAGCUCCCUCCUUAUAUUACUUUUUACUGGCCAAGAUUCCACAUAAUUUAAAUAGGAAAGAACCACAUACUGACACACAAUUUUAAUUAUAUAAAUUCUAGAAACAUGAUUAACAUAUUUUAAUUUGCAUUUGUGUAGUGCUUUAAAAUGCAAAAAUACAUUAACAGUAAUUGUCUCAUCCAAUUUCAUAAUAUCUCCAUGUACAUGUUAAAAGUAUGGCUUUGUUUUAUAGAUGAGAAAAAUAAAGCCAAGACAGGGUAAACAACAUGUCCAAUCCCAGGCAACUAGAAAGAGGCAGAGUUAAAACUUCAAUUCAGAUCUUUGGACCCCAGAUUUAUAUUUCUUUCAAAUAUGCCACCAUGGCCAUGCCAUUUUGAAUGCUGAAUCCAUUCAGAGGUCAGUAGAGUUCUUUGCAACAACCUCUGUUUUAAAAAUACAGAUAUGCCAAAAGAGGGUCACAAAAGCUCUGCCGUAUUUUAAAUGUUUACUUUUUUAAGAAUGAACACUUUUCAAAAACAACUCUACAGUAGCCUAUUUUAAAACAAAUAUCAGAUUUUCCUUGAAUGUGAAGCUUGAAUCAAAUGUGUCUCCUGCGCCCUCUCCCAUAGGCCCCCGGGGUCUGCAGGACAUCUUUGACACCGAGCAUGUGGAAUUCAGGGUGAACAUCACUAUAAUCUAAGGAAGAGGUGCUUCUUGGCAUCGACUUCACAAUCUUUAAAACUAACCUGAGUUACUUUGGCUCCCUUUAGCAGGUGUUGAAUUGGCUGAAGCAAAUCUUGAAAGAAAGUGAGUUUUAAUUGACUCCAUAAUUUGACAGAAAUCUGCAAAUAAGGAUAAUCAAAUACUUUUUCAUUGUUCCCCAAAUGGAUGUCACUUGCCCAUUUCCAACGUUGUAGGAGUUAAAACCCUUCUAUUAGGGCCAAAUAAAGAAAAAUCUCUAUUUUUACCAGUUUAGAUCUCUGUAGUGAUUCAUUUCUGUUGGAAAUUUAGAGCAAACUUUAAAUGCCUGACUGUCUUCAAAGACUUAGGCAAUGGCAGCAGUGGGAUUUACUUACUGGGAAUGACAGUAAGGGGGAUGGUCCUAAUUUUUUAGAAGCAGGGUUACCAGCAAGGCCUCCAGAGUUUGGUUAUUUCCUUUGGUUCCUCAUUAGUUUCCCAAGGAUCCAAGCAGGCAUGUUUUUCUGGUGGAAGCCUUGGCUAUAUGAGUAUGUCAGUAUUGUAUAUUUGCACCUUGCUAAACCUGUCUGAAUGCAGGAGUUAUAAAUUCUCAAAACUCAGAUAUAACCCAGAAUCAGAGUAAGGUCAUUUCUAAUAUUUAUACAUCAUAGGCCCAUGAUUGUGUGAUGAAUGAUCCAAAAAAAAAGAACAAAAAAGGUACAUGCAAAUAGGGCAAAGGCCAGAAAAGAGACCUUAACCUGAUGCUAUUAUUUAGAAUAAUGAAAAAUACCUUUACGAAAGUAUUAAUGUGUAAAUAUGUACAUACAUAGUCUAGCAAAAGCAGAUAAACACAUAUCUUUCAGAUAAAGACAUUUCCUUUUUAUUCUACUCACUUGGGGCCCAGGUCAGUAUAAAUUGGUCAACCUGAAAAUUUCAGUAGUCUCUGUUUGCAUGGCAGAAAUUCUGCACAUGUUUUAUCUGAUUCCUAAGAUAACUUAAAAGGCUCUUUUAUGUUAAAAGAGAGGUGAACCUUCUUUGACAGACUUUGUCUAUUCCACUUCUAGCUGGGCCUCUCUUUUCUCAGGAUCUAUCCUAGCCAAAUAUCUCAGUUACAUUUACCAUAUAGUUUCUUUUGUGAAAAGAGCAGUAGGGGAGAAAAUAAUUCUCUGCUGUGUAUUGUAUUUUUCAAAUAAAAUUUUAAAAAUUGAA